rnacentral:lncRNA from 1 species
CUCAGAUCCAAUGUAGAAAAUACACUAAAAGAAAAAAAGAAAAAAAAAACCCUCAACUAAUUAUCCCAAAAAAAAAACUCUAACAUUCCACUUCAAGAAUAUGAUCCCUUCCCAAAACUCAGACCAACCACCAGAAAAUCCAAUAAAGUAACAAAAAGGGAAUCUUUACUAUUUUUGGGAAAAUUUUCUAUCUUCUUGAAUGUUCAACAAAAAAAAAAUCACUUAAUGGCAACAUUUUUAGGGAAAAAAAACCACAAACCC